GAACGCUAGCUACAGGCUUAACACAUGCAAGUCGAGGGGAAACGACAUCGAAAGCUUGCUUUUGAUGGGCGUCGACCGGCGCACGGGUGAGUAACGCGUAUCCAACCUGCCCACCACUUGGGGAUAACCUUGCGAAAGUAAGACUAAUACCCAAUGACGUCUCUAGAAGACAUCUGAAAGAGAUUAAAGAUUUAUCGGUGAUGGAUGGGGAUGCGUCUGAUUAGCUUGUUGGCGGGGUAACGGCCCACCAAGGCGACGAUCAGUAGGGGUUCUGAGAGGAAGGUCCCCCACAUUGGAACUGAGACACGGUCCAAACUCCUACGGGAGGCAGCAGUGAGGAAUAUUGGUCAAUGGACGAGAGUCUGAACCAGCCAAGUAGCGUGCAGGAUGACGGCCCUAUGGGUUGUAAACUGCUUUUAUAAGGGAAUAAAGUGAGUCUCGUGAGACUUUUUGCAUGUACCUUAUGAAUAAGGACCGGCUAAUUCCGUGCCAGCAGCCGCGGUAAUACGGAAGGUCCGGGCGUUAUCCGGAUUUAUUGGGUUUAAAGGGAGCGUAGGCCGGAGAUUAAGCGUGUUGUGAAAUGUAGACGCUCAACGUCUGCACUGCAGCGCGAACUGGUUUCCUUGAGUACGCACAAAGUGGGCGGAAUUCGUGGUGUAGCGGUGAAAUGCUUAGAUAUCACGAAGAACUCCGAUUGCGAAGGCAGCUCACUGGAGCGCAACUGACGCUGAAGCUCGAAAGUGCGGGUAUCGAACAGGAUUAGAUACCCUGGUAGUCCGCACGGUAAACGAUGGAUGCCCGCUGUUGGUCUGAAUAGGUCAGCGGCC
rnacentral:rRNA from 1 species